GGGGCGAGGUGGGGUCAAGUUGGGAAGAUAUCAAAGAAGCAGACCAUAGAAGUGAAGAAGUUAAUGUGAUACCUGAAAUACCGAGCAAUGGUAUCCAGAAACUUAUUGACUUGCUUGAACCUCUGAAAACCAGGAAGAAAAGUGUUAGAGAAUGUAAAUGUAAAACAAUUAAACCAAGAAAAGAGGAAGAAGAG